rnacentral:sRNA from 1 species
UUGCAACGGGAAAUCCGUUGCAAAUGAAAAUUCCAGAAAAAAAAACAUGGUUUGCAACGGAUUCGCCGUUGCAA